rnacentral:rRNA from 1 species
CGUGGGGUAACCUGCCCAAGAGAUCGGGAUAACACCUGGAAACAGAUGCUAAUACCGGAUAACAACAGAUGGUGCCUAUCAACUGUUUAAAAGAUGGUUCUGCUAUCACUCUUGGAUGGACCUGCGGUGCAUUAGCUAGUUGGUAGGGUAACGGCCUACCAAGGCGAUGAUGCAUAGCCGAGUUGAGAGACUGAUCCGGCCANAUUGGGACUGAGACACGGCCCAAACUCCUACGGGAGGCAGCAGGC